AAUUCAUUAUUAGGACAUUUUUGAAGCCUAUCUUUAAACCUCUCCCAAGCCUCAUGAAAGCUCUCAAAUUCGGACUGUUGGAAGGUGGUUAUGUCAUGCUUGAGUUU
rnacentral:snoRNA from 1 species